rnacentral:tmRNA from 1 species
GGGGAUGAUCGGUUUCGACGGUCGGUAAUGUCCUGAGAGAAGCGGGUCGAGGAUGUGUCCUCAUCUCGUAAACGACGGAUACGAACCAAUAAGUGCUGAACGUAACAGUACUGAAUCCUUCACCUUGGCUGCUUAACCCAAGGGAACUGAUUCCGUCAGCCCGCGGUCGCUUCAGCCGCGGUUCCUGGCGUCGCUUAUGAAGCCACUGGGGUCGCCAGGGUUACUUUGGUUGGCCCGAGAUUUUAGGUAACUUUGGCAAGUCGCUGCCCUGUUUGCGGGACGCGCCUUGCCGAGAUUUCAAAGCAAACUGCACCCGGAGAAGUACCAGGUUUUCCCGAUCGGACCGGGGUUCAAUUCCCCGCAUCUCCACCA